rnacentral:tRNA from 1 species
GGCGAGGUAGCUCAGUUGGCUAGAGCACACGGUUCAUACCCGUGGUGUCAGGAGUUCGAAUCUCCUCCUCGCUA